UUUCCCUCAGGAUAGCUGGCACUCGCUUGAACGAGUCUCAUCUGGUAAAGCGAAUGAUUAGAGGCCUUGGGGCCGAAACGACCUCAACCUAUUCUCAAACUUUAAAUGGGUGAGAUCUCUGGCUUGCUUGAACGUUGAAGCCACGAGAUAUGGGUCCACUGUGACCCCUUGGAUCAGAGUGCCAAGUGGGCCAAUUUUGGUAAGCAGAACUGGCGCUGUGGGA
rnacentral:rRNA from 1 species